rnacentral:rRNA from 1 species
AGACCCGAAACCCGGUGAUCUAGCCAUGGGCAGGUUGAAGGUUGGGUAACACUAACUGGAGGACCGAACCGACUAAUGUUGAAAAAUUAGCGGAUGACCUGUGGCUGGGGGUGAAAGGCCAAUCAAACCGGGAGAUAGCUGGUUCUCCCCGAAAGCUAUUUAGGUAGCGCCUCGUGAAUUCAUCUCCGGGGGUAGAGCACUGUUUCGGCUAGGGGGCCAUCCCGGCUUACCAACCCGAUGCAAACUGCGAAUACCGGAGAAUGUUAUCACGGGAGACACACGGCGGGUGCUAACGUCCGUCGUGAAGAGGGAAACAACCCAGACCGCCAGCUAAGGUCCCAAAGUCAUGGUUAAGUGGGAAACGAUGUGGGAAGGCCCAGACAGCCAGGAUGUUGGCUUAGAAGCAGCCAUCAUUUAAAGAAAGCGUAAUAGCUCACUGGUCGAGUCGGCCUGCGCGGAAGAUGUAACGGGGCUAAACCAUGCACCGAAGCUGCGGCAGCGACGCUGAUGCGUUGUUGGGUAGGGGAGCGUUCUGUAAGCCUGUGAAGGUGGCCUGUGAGGGUUGCUGGAGGUAUCAGAAGUGCGAAUGCUGACAUAAGUAACGAUAAAGCGGGUGAAAAGCCCGCUCGCCGGAAGACCAAGGGUUCCUGUCCAACGUUAAUCGGGGCAGGGUGAGUCGACCCCUAAGGCGAGGCCGAAAGGCGUAGUCGAUGGGAAACGGGUUAAUAUUCCCGUACUUGGUGUUACUGCGAAGGGGGGACGGAGAAGGCUAUGUUGGCCGGGCGACGGUUGUCCCGGUUUAAGCGUGUAGGCGGGUGUUCCAGGUAAAUCCGGAACGCUGUUAACGCUGAGGCGUGAUGACGAGGCACUACGGUGCUGAAGCAACAAAUGCCCUGCUUCCAGGAAAAGCCUCUAAGCAUCAGGUAACAUCAAAUCGUACCCCAAACCGACACAGGUGGUCAGGUAGAGAAUACCAAGGCGCUUGAGAGAACUCGGGUGAAGGAACUAGGCAAAAUGGUGCCGUAACUUCGGGAGAAGGCACGCUGACACGUAGGUGAAGUGAUUUACUCAUGGAGCUGAAGUCAGUCGAAGAUACCAGCUGGCUGCAACUGUUUAUUAAAAACACAGCACUGUGCAAACACGAAAGUGGACGUAUACGGUGUGACGCCUGCCCGGUGCCGGAAGGUUAAUUGAUGGGGUCAGCGCAAGCGAAGCUCCUGAUCGAAGCCCCGGUAAACGGCGGCCGUAACUAUAACGGUCCUAAGGUAGCGAAAUUCCUUGUCGGGUAAGUUCCGACCUGCACGAAUGGCGUAAUGAUGGCCAGGCUGUCUCCACCCGAGACUCAGUGAAAUUGAACUCGCUG